rnacentral:rRNA from 1 species
AACGGCCAUACCAUGCUGAAUAUACCGGUUCUCGUUAGAAUCGCCGAAGUCAAGCAUCAUUGGGCGUGAUCAGUACUUGGGGGGUGGCCACCUGGGAACACCGCGUA